GCUAUGAGAAGAGUGUAUGUGCAGCAGCUGUGGGGGCACCUUACAGAGGAGGCAAUUUGUACCACACUGAGGUCUCACUCUUCGGAGAACCUACUGAGUUCGAAUAUUUGCGAAAAGUGCUGUUUGAAUAUAUGAUGGGUCGAGAGACCAAGACCAUGGCCAAAGUUAUAACUACUGUCCUAAGAUUCCCUGAUGAUCAAGCUCAGAAAAUUUUGGAAAGAGAAGACGCUCGGCUGAUGUUCACCUCACCUCGCAGUGGCAUCUUCUGAUAACCGUCAGUCUGUGCUUAGUAAGCAUGUGUCAUGGCUCCGAACCUCAUCUUGAAGAAAUGGGGAGACUGAGGCUGGGCAUCUGCUGCUGAGGAAGCUGCCCUCCCACAUGUGGUGUUUGCGGAGAAUGGCGCUGUCAUCAUGGGCCAUUCGUGUAGCUUGAAGACACAUGCUACCCUGGCCACAGAUACAUAGCUUUUGAAGCAGACAUUCUUGGUGGGGAAAUGGUGAUAGUUUUGUUCUUUUUCAUUCAGUUUUUUUCUGGGAAGUUCUCUGUGGU
rnacentral:lncRNA from 1 species